rnacentral:misc_RNA from 1 species
GGGAGCUCUCGCAGCGACUCUAAACAAGUGCCCUAGCCUGCGCCCCGAGUGGGACUGGCGACGCCAUCAAUCUGCGCUGGGAGGACCCCCUUGGGGCUCAACCAGAAGCUCUUAAAUGAGUUCACAGAUCAGACGAUGGCGGCCACUUGCGGGUGGUUCAGAUAUGACCGGCCCCGGCCCUUCAUCGGCCGGCGAAUCUGCGGAACCUGCGGAAGGAUCAUUACUGAGAGGGGUUUUCGGACCCCGGGGGCUUCGGCCCCCAUCUCUUCACCCUAUGUUUACGUACCUUCGUUGCUUUGGCGGGUCUUGGGGCUCGCCCCAUGCCGGCUACGGGCCUAGUGUCCCGGUCGGUCCGUGCCCGCCAGAGGCCUACAAAAUUCUAUUUAUCAGUGGCGUCCGAGCAAAAACACAAUAGUAAAAACUUUCAACAACGGAUCUCUUGGUUCU